GUUAAUGUAGCUUAUUCCAAACAAAGCACCGAAAAAGCUUAGAUGGAAUUUUUCCCCCCUUC
rnacentral:tRNA from 1 species